GAGAGAAGCUUGCUUCUCUUGAGAGCGGCGGACGGGUGAGUAAUGCCUAGGAAUCUGCCUGGUAGUGGGGGAUAACGUUCGGAAACGGACGCUAAUACCGCAUACGUCCUACGGGAGAAAGCAGGGGACCUUCGGGCCUUGCGCUAUCAGAUGAGCCUAGGUCGGAUUAGCUAGUUGGUGAGGUAAUGGCUCACCAAGGCGACGAUCCGUAACUGGUCUGAGAGGAUGAUCAGUCACACUGGAACUGAGACACGGUCCAGACUCCUACGGGAGGCAGCAGUGGGGAAUAUUGGACAAUGGGCGAAAGCCUGAUCCAGCCAUGCCGCGUGUGUGAAGAAGGUCUUCGGAUU
rnacentral:rRNA from 1 species